rnacentral:rRNA from 1 species
UGCGCAGGCGGUUUAUCAAGAAAGGUGUGAAAUCCCCGGGCUCAACCUGGGAAUGGCACUUUUAACUGAUAGGCUAGAGUAUGUCAGAGGGGGGUAGAAUUCCACGUGUAGCAGUGAAAUGCGUAGAGAUGUGGAGGAAUACCGAUGGCGAAGGCAGCCCCCUGGGAUAAUACUGACGCUCAUGCACGAAAGCGUGGGAGCAAACA